rnacentral:rRNA from 1 species
GAUGAACGCUGGCGGCGUGCCUAAUACAUGCAAGUCGAGCGAACAGACGAGGAGCUUGCUCCUCUGACGUUAGCGGCGGACGGGUGAGUAACACGUGGAUAACCUACCUAUAAGACUGGGAUAACUUCGGGAAACCGGAGCUAAUACCGGAUAAUAUAUUGAACCGCAUGGUUCAAUAGUGAAAGACGGUUUUGCUGUCACUUAUAGAUGGAUCCGCGCCGCAUUAGCUAGUUGGUAAGGUAACGGCUUACCAAGGCAACGAUGCGUAGCCGACCUGAGAGGGUGAUCGGCCACACUGGAACUGAGACACGGUCCAGACUCCUACGGGAGGCAGCAGUAGGGAAUCUUCCGCAAUGGGCGAAAGCUUGACGGAGCAACGCCGCGUGAGUGAUGAAGGUCUUCGGAUCGUAAAACUCUGUUAUUAGGGAAGAACAAAUGUGUAAGUAACUAUGCACGUCUUGACGGUACCUAUUCAGAAAGCCACGGCUAACUACGUU